AAGUCGUAACAAGGUUUCCGUAGGUGAACCUGCGGAAGGAUCAUUACAGAGAUGGCUUCGGCCAACCUCCAACCACUGUUUACCCCCCCGUUGCUUCGGCUUGCGCCGGAGACAAACUCUGAACCUUCUGUCUGAACAAACCAAUAAUCAAAACUUUCAACAACGGAUCUCUUGGUUCCC
rnacentral:misc_RNA from 1 species